CCACCUUUGACAGGACAGGUCCCCUCCCUGCCCCGGCAAGGUCUUCCCCGCCCCCACCUUUAACAGGACUGGGCCCUCCCCGCUUCCUCUGGGACAGGUCCCCUCCCUGCCCCGGCAAGGUCUUCCCCGCCCCCACCUUUAACAGGACAGGGCCCUCCCCGCUUCCUCUGGGUCAGGUCCCCUCCCUGCCCCGGCAAGGUCUUCCCCGCCCCCACCUUUAACAGGACAGGGCCCUCCCCGCUUCCUCUGGGUCAGGUCCCCUCCCUGCCCCGGCAAGGUCUUCCCCGCCCCCACCUUUAACAGGACAGGGCCCUCCCCGCUUCCUCUGGGUCAGGUCCCCUCCCUGCCCCGGCAAGGUCUUCCCCGCCCCCACCUUUAAUAGGACAGGGCCCUCCCCCGCUUCCUCUGGGACAGGUCCCCUCCCUGCCCCAGCAAGGUCUUCCCCGCCCCCACCUUUAACAGGACAGGGCCCUCCCCGCUUCCUCUGGGUCAGGUCCCCUCCCUGCCCCGGCAAGGUCUUCCCCGCCCCCACCUUUAAUAGGACAGGGCCCUCCCCCGCUUCCUCUGGGACAGGUCCCCUCCCUGCCCCAGCAAGGUCUUCCGCGCCCGCACCUUUAACAGGACAGGUCCUCUCCCUGCCCCGGCAAGGUCUUCCCCGCCCCCACCUUUAACAGGACAGGUCCCCUCCCUGCCCCGGCAAGGUCUUCCCCACUUACCCCCCCAACACACACACACAGGCGCUGUCGUCACUAGCCCCGAAAGUGCAUCCUUUAGCCCGGCCAACCCGCGUUGGGGAACGCUUACGCGGAAGGGGUCUAGUGCUGAACGCGCCUAGCUCCAUGGGGAAAACAACCCAAUCCACUACCCUGUUCCAGCUGGGAAAAAUCACCCUUUUGUAGCGAAGGCAAAGCCUGAGUGGGAUGGGAGUCUUCCUCCCGCCCCCGUAUUUGCUCUUUUGCCUAUCAGCCACUAAAGCAAUGUCGCUCCACUUCCCCUCUGCUGUGCAUCAGGAACUUAUUGAUUGAUUUAGCAUUUGCAUAGUUGCCAGGCAGUAGCGUGGUUAGCGGCCCAGUGGAGCUCACUGCUGACUUUGGUGAGCAGGCACUCCUCGACAACGCAUAUUCUUGUUCAGUCUGCACCACAGCCACAGCUUGGAUUGUCUCCAAGACCCCAACGGUGCUGGCUGGCUGCACGAAGGCGUUGCCCAGUCCGGAAUCGGUUAAGAAGGUCCCCCUGCUGACAUGGCAGGUUGAAGCCAGACGGGCGAGCAGUAGGGUCUGUGACGAGGAACCCUUUGGUGGUUGAUGUUAAGCAGUAGUCUUCCCGCCACAUGGACUCCACUGUCACGUCCUGGCAUAGCAACCUCAACCAUCUGUCAUUACAGCACUGUAAGUCAAGAGCCACUCAAGGAUCAAACAGGAUUGAGACUGUUUUCAGGCCUUAUGUCUUUAGCAACUGUGACCUGCUGGAAAUUACUUGCUCCCCAAACCCUUAAACUGGCUCGUCUGCAAAAUGCUUCCAGCCUCUAGAGGAAGAGAGCAUCUGAACAUAUGGUAGCCAGUUUUCCCAUUGCUUCAUUAUUUGUACUGACAGAGAGCAAUAUUUUGAAAGCAAAAUUAUCUAAUAUAUAUGGGAGAGAAUAGGUCAAUGUCAAAAAGUUACCAUAACAGUUACAAUAGAAAAUAAUACAGAUUUAAAACACAAAUUUUGGAAGGGAUAAAACCCCCUCAUGCUUUCAGAAAUAAACCAAUCUGAUUGGGAUUAGAAAGAAACUUUCUCGGUUGUUUAUAACAACAUCUGACUGCAUCAGCUUCCUGUGAAGGUGGUGGUAACGGCUACAGUCAAAGGCAGGGUACUGGAUUAGACAGAUCUGUAGUCUGUGACAAUUGCUAUGUUCAUAUUGUUGUAUAUUUAAAAAGACUAUUUAAAAAUUACACUCCCGUCUAAAUUGGGGGUAGGGGUUAUGUUUUUCUUUUAGAUAAAAAACUAAGUCUGUACAUGGGUGCUGGAACCAGGGGUGCUGCCACACCCUUUGGCUUGAUGUAGUAACAACCACUCAGAUACAUGGUUUCUGCCUUCAGCGCCCCCACUAUAAAAAUCAUUUCACGAUAAAAACGGAGUCUGUAUAUCUUUAAAGAGAACAAAACUGGAGUUUUUCAGUUGGAUUUUGCUGUGCAUUUGCUGGCACUUAGCUGAAACAGACCAGGCGAGUGAGUGUGUGUGUAAAACCGCAACAUUUGGCAGGGACUCAAGGGCAGGUGUGGGCCUUCAGACACUAUGAAAAAGAGGAGGGAAAAACUAGAUUUCAAACUGACAGUCUCUUUUCCAGCAUGUCAUACAUCCAGACUGGAGAUACUAUUCUGCUGGAUCAGCUAACGUUUCUACAGCACUUUGAUAAUGUGAAGCAGCGGUAAGUAGCUUUGUAACUAGGAUUGAAAGGAUUAGAUUUUUUAUGAGUAAAUGUCAAUAAAUGCCGAUUUCACUGUACACACACCAACCAAUGAAAAUAUAUUAGAAAUAGAAAUUACAAAUAGGCAAAGAAAGAAAAAGCUUUGUUUAAAGAUAUUUCUUUGCAUAUGUUUGUCUUAUGAUGUUGACCAUUUGUGUUUUAAUGGUUAUAAAGCUUUAACUUUUUGAA